UGUUAAAAUUUUCAUCUAAUUCUAUUGUUAAAAAUUGGUCUAGAUGGUGGAAUAACUUGACAGUUAUAAGUGGUGUGCUACAUGUAUCUUAUUCUGACAUGAAGGGAUUGGUUUUUAACAAUAAGAAUGGAUUGAAUUUUUAACA
rfam:Gossypium raimondii Chr08_contig_1322, whole genome shotgun sequence.